CAGCCGCCGCGGUAAUACCGGCGGCCCGAGUGGCGGUCACUAUUAUUGGGCUUAAAGCGUCCGUAGCCGGGUUGGGAAGUCCUCCGGGAAAUCUGGCCGCUUAACGGUCAGAAUGCCGGAGGAUACUCCCAGCCUAGGGAGCGGGAGAGGCCGAGGGGAUUCCCGGAGUAGGGGGGAAAUCCUAUAAUCCCGGGAGGACCACCUGUGGCGAAGGCGCUCGGCUGGAACGCGUCCGACGGUGAGGGACGAAGGCCAGGGGAGCAAACCGGAUUAGAUACCCGGGUAGUCCUGGCUGUAAACGAUGCGGACUUUGUGUCGGACAAGCUAAGGGCUUGUCCGGUGCCGCAGGGAAGCCGUUAAGUCCGCCGCCUGGGGAGUACGGCCGCAAGGCUGAAACUUAAAGGAAUUGGCGGG
rnacentral:rRNA from 1 species